GACAAUCUGUUUUGAUAUGCCCUGUUUUGCCACAUCCAAAGCAAGUAUAUUUAGAGGAAUUUGAAUCAUUGGGUUUAGGAUACCUUCUUUUCUGCUGGUUCCUAUUUUUGCUUUUCUUCCUCAGGAAUUUGCUGAAUCUUUUUGUAAGAAGGCUUAUUGUAUCAUCAUCUUCAGCAUCUUCUUUUUCUUCCUUGAUCUCAUUCAGUUCAGUUGCUUUCAGUGCAAGACCUUUGGGUUUUCUCUCUGUUGUUUCCUGCUCUUUAAGUCUUUUAAGCUCUAGCUCAUGCUCCAUCAACUUUCCAAACAGUGCAGCAGUUCCCAACUUUG
rnacentral:lncRNA from 1 species